AGGUCGCUGUGAUAAAUUCGCAGCCUCUGAUGGAAACACCAGAGUGAAAACUGGGUUAAUUGACGGGAAACCUUUAAAAUGGUAAUCCGCAGCCAAGGUCGCCUUAGGCGACAAGGUUCAGAGACUAUACGCCCAGAACCUAAAAUUCUUAAAAGGAUUUGGUUAUGAGAUAGUCCACGCUUCGAUGAAAAUCGGAG
rnacentral:ncRNA from 1 species